rnacentral:lncRNA from 1 species
CUUGAACUCAUGUAAACACACCACAAGCCCAUACUUUACCCCUUUGAACACUUUUAUUUUAGGCCCAGCAGCACUGCAGCGUUGCUGUGCAGGCCCUGAACAGCAGCUGGCUCCCAGCCGCCAGGCCGGAGUGCGAGCGGGACGGACACGCGGGACACAUGCCGUUGGCUUGGCACGGCGCUGCCCAGUCCAGGAAAUGCAUGCCCUGGAGUUCCACAUACUGCAGAGACUGACUAUUUCAGAUACUUCUUAGCUUGGAUAAGGAUGUUAUUCUAUGUUUGGACUGCUGCCAUGGACAUGUGAGAAGGGUGUUGCUUACCAGUCUCCCCUCAACAGUAUUGACAGAUGCUAUGAAAAUUCCCAAGGAUAAAACCUGGUUUAGCUCAUGUUAAGGUAAGGGAGUAUUUGCCUUACAGCAUAUUAAUCUUGUGGAAAUUAUUAGAUUUGUCUGU